rnacentral:rRNA from 1 species
GAUGAACGCUGGCGGCGUGCCUAAUACAUGCAAGUCGAGCGAACAGACGAGGAGCUUGCUCCUCUGACGUUAGCGGCGGACGGGUGAGUAACACGUGGAUAACCUACCUAUAAGACUGGGAUAACUUCGGGAAACCGGAGCUAAUACCGGAUAAUAUAUUGAACCGCAUGGUUCAAUAGUGAAAGACGGUUUUGCUGUCACUUAUAGAUGGAUCCGCGCCGCAUUAGCUAGUUGGUAAGGUAACGGCUUACCAAGGCGACGAUGCGCAGCCGACCUGAGAGGGUGAUCGGCCACACUGGAACUGAGACACGGUCCAGACUCCUACGGGAGGCAGCAGUAGGGAAUCUUCCGCAAUGGGCGAAAGCCUGACGGAGCAACGCCGCGUGAGUGAUGAAGGUCUUCGGAUCGUAAAACUCUGUUAUUAGGGAAGAACAAAUGUGUAAGUAACUAUGCACGUCUUGACGGUACCUAAGCAGAAAGCCACGGCUAACUACGU